UAAUGGCCGCGGUAACUCUGACCGUGAUAAAGUAGCAUAAUCACUCGUCACUUAAUUGGUGACUGGAAUGAAUGGCUAAACGAAUCCUUCCCUGUCUCUGAAAGAACUCUGGCAAAUUUGAAGUAAUAGUGAAGAUGCUAUUAGAUAAUUGUAAGACGAAAAGACCCUAUCGAGCUUUACUGGACACUUGUAUUUUGAUAUACUUGAUCAUUACAAAGUUUCUCAUAGUGCAAGAUUGACAGUUUGGUUGGGGCGACCACCCCUAAAAAUGUAUCAGGGGAACUCUAAAGGUUGUUACAACAUGAAAAGUAACCUUACUGAAGAUAGACAAAUCAGCCAGUUAUGAUAAAUAGGACAUACUGACCCGUUAUUUUUGCUCAUAAUAAAUAACGACCAUGAAAAAAGUUACCGUAGGGAUAACAGGGUAAUAUUUUCGGAGAGUUCAUAUCGAUGAAGAUGUUUGCCACCUCGAUGUUGAAUUGUGAUAUCCUAAGGGUGCAGCAGCUCUUAAGGGUUGGUCUGUUCGACCAUUAAAAUCACACAUGAUUUGAGUUCAUUCCGUCGUA
rnacentral:rRNA from 1 species